GACAGAGGCCUCGAGCGUUAGGCGGAAUCACUGGGCUUAAAGCGUGUGUAGGCGGACGCCUAAGUACCUUGUGAAAUCCCCACGGCUCACCCGUGGAACCGCUGGGUAUACUGGGUGUCUUGGGCCAUUCAGGGGCAAACUGGAACAAGCGGUGGAGCGGUGAAAAUGCGUAGAUCUUGGAAAGACCACCAAGGCGAAGGCACUCUACUGGGCCAUUACUGACACUGGAGAAGACGAAAAGCUAGGGGGAGCAAAUGGG
rnacentral:rRNA from 1 species